UUCCCACCUUCUGUAGUUCCUAUUCCAUUCAUGCAGGACAAAUCAAGCCCAUGAGGCGGGAAAAGGGUAGGAGGUUAACAUUAAAGGCAAGCGACAAGGAAUCUCUUUCUUGUGGUUCGCAUAGCACUGCUUUUAUAUUUGCUUCUAGUGGACAUUUUUUAAAUUCCUCAUUGCUGAAAAGGCUGAGUUUUCUUUUCUAGACUGUAUUAGAGGAGGGCAGGGACGACGACCAAUUCCCCCCCACACACACACACACUCCUAAAUUAAAAGAAAAAUAGGGUUUCCCAGCUUGGACUCGUGUGCAUUUAAUAACUGCGGGGGGGGGGGGCGUGGAUUAAGAAUAUAUUAUAUAUACACACACAGUGGUUUUUUCUGGGGGGAUGCAGGGGUACACAUGCCCCUAAACAGUUUGUGAAUUUAACUGCCUCAUUGAGGAGCAGUAUUUCAAUAUGAGUAGGAAAAUGAGAGUACCCCAAAAUGUUUUUUAAGAAAAAAAAGCACUGUGUGUCUGUGUUUCAAAAUCCACAUUACCUUUAGAGGGCCAGCCAAAAUGUCCCCAAAUAGUGAGCAAGCUCCAGAACUCUUCACCAUACUGGAUGUUAAUCAAAAUGGGGCAGGGUGGUUUAAUGUUGAAGCCGCAUAAACCCGGUUCACAAGUAAUGGUAAGCCAAACAUUUACUGUGGACACGGCACUCCUGCUGCACUGCUGUGAGCUAAGCCAUUAUUAUUAUAUUUAUAUACUGCCCUUCCUCUAAAGCAGGCAUGUCCAACUCCCAAGAGACUGCGAUCUACUCCCACUAUAAAAAAACUGGCAGUGGUCUACCCAUUGGAUUGACCAAAGUUUUGGGGAGGAACAGUGGCGUAGGAAGGGGGGGCGGAGGGGGCGGGCCGCCCCGGGUGGCACUCUGUGAGGGGUGACAGGAUGGCACCUGCCUCCCCCCCAGCUGUAGAGUGGCUGAGGGUGCCCGCAGUCUGUAUGGGCACCACGCACGUGGUGUCCAUACAUGCAUCCAUACAGGCUGUCACUUGUACGGCAGUCUGUACAGUCGCUGUGCAAGCGGCAGCCUGUAUGGCCGCCACGUGCAAGCGGCAGCCCAUACAGACUGGGCAUGUCCGGCAUUCCGUUCAGACUGCGCCGCCCCGGGUGCCAGUAUGGGUUCCUCCGCCACUGGGGAGGAAGACCCAAAGUAGUUGAGCUUUUUUUUGCUUCUUGCUUUUCUUUUAAUCAACCCGGGACACCCCACAAUUGACUGGUAGAUCGCAAUCUGCGGGUUGGACAUGCCUGCUCUAAAGAUCUCAGGGUGGUUCACAAGAAAAUAAUAAUUUUGUUGAUCAAUGUGGGGUAUAAAAAAAUAAAAGAUGCCCAAUUGCCUAACAAUUUGAGCAACUUAUAGGGAUGUGGAAUUCUAGUGCAAACUAAUAGAAAAUAAACUAUCCAUAUGUGGAUUUUCAUUUUCAAAAACAACCCAUAAUUGUUUUUUUAAAGCAAAAUAUAGCACAUACAAACAAAGCACACAUGGUUUGGGCUUAGCAUGUCAUCCGAACCUGGGCUCGUGGUUGUACCCAAGGUUUGGUCUUGGGUUUAGGGCUCACGAUUUGUCCGGCAGAGACAAUUCACAAGCCGGGGUUUGGAUAACACACUUAGCCAGCAGCACAGCAACAGGACUGAGGAAGAGCUUCUCAGUGUGAGUUUAAAAAAUGACCUAUCCAAAUAGUGAGAUGGUUCUCAUUACCCCUUUUGUUUCAAUCUUCUCAACAGUGAGUCCUCAUUUUGUGGCUACUCAGCACCUCAUUGGGAUGUGUUUGAGUUCCCACCCACCUGCAAGAGUUUUUGUACUUCUGGAACAUGUGCAGAGGAGGGCAACCAAGAUGAUCAAGGGUCUGGAAACCAAGCCUUAUGAGAAGCAGUUGAAGGAGCUGGGUAUGUUUAGCCUGGAAGAAAGCAGACUGAGAGGAGAUAUUAUUUUUAUUAGUCCACAGUUCCAUGAUUUAAAAAGAAAGGAAAGAAAGAAAGAUGUAAGUUCCUUAUCAAGAAAAGAGUGGUUAUGACAGCUUUUUCCCACUCCCUACUGCUCACAGUAAUGAGCUAAUCAUAGUCCUAGAGCUCAGUAAUGUUAGUGUCUGUAAAACUGCCUGCUUUAAUUUUACCUUUUGUUCUACCCAUCUGCUUUCAUUCAUUUCUUAAUCCAUUGAAAUUUCAAAACGUUUUGCGUAGUUGAAACUGCAGCACACAGUGCCUCCUUACUACACACACGACCCCACGCAAACCUAUGUAUAGUCCCAAAUUAUUCCGGUUAAACAUGUCUGGCAUUCAUUGCAGAUAUGCUCACAAAACACCAGGUGCAUAAAAAUAAAUAAGGGGGAUGUUAACGGCAAUAAUUGGUGUUUAAUAAGCAAUAGGAGUGGGAAAAGGCUUUGUAGUAGCGUAACUGGGGCAAAGAUGGAAUGAGUACAUAGCUGUCAACUUACAGAUUUGAAAAUAAGGGACCAGCAGCCUUGAAAAUAAGGGAUCAGCAGCCAAAAUAAGGGAUUUUGCUAUUGUAAAGAGUUACAUACAUUGGCAGGAUUGACAGAUGCUGUCAAUCCGGCAUGAGGCGGUUGCACCGCUGAAGCACCGCCCUUCUAUGUCCCUCCCCAUCCCCUCCUCUUCCUCCUCCCUCAGGCCACCUCCUCAGCUGUCACCAUUGCUGCCGCCUCCGGGCUCGCGGGCAGCGUGGGCGAGAGUCUCGCUCCCUCCCCCCCCUCUCGGGUGGGGAAUUCCUCGCGCCAGGAUGACGGCGCCAGCGCGCGCCUUCUCUCGCAGCGGAGGACCCCGAGCCGCUGCUUCCCUCCUGAGCUGGGUGACCUGGGAAAUUUAAGGGACAUCAUCAAUAAGGGACAGCAGCGGGACACGGUGCUGGGAUAAGGGAGUUUCCCGCCAAAUAAGGGACAGCUGACAGCUAUGAAUGAGUAUAUACCCAAGAUUUAUAAUGGGCACGCCCCCCCCCCGUGACACAUGGAUGGGGUCACAUUGCCAAUGACAAGCAGUACACUCCAACUGAGAAGAAAAGAGGGGCCUGAAAUUUGCACCCAACCCUUGGGCCUUUUCUUACGAAGGUACUACACGGACAGGGUCAGGGAUGCAAACAUUCUUUGUCUCGUAUAGGAAUUAUUACAAUAAUAUUAUAUAUGUAGUACAAUAAUAUUAUAUUACAUAUGUUUUCAGAGUUGUAGGUAGAAGUCCAGACAUAACGGUUGCUUAGGAAAACUUAGUGAGCGCAAUAGGCCAAGUGGUUUUGGUAGGGGAAGGAGAGAUUCAGAGGCAAAUGGCAUUGGUAAGCAUUUUGUGAUAGACCAACAGCACCCUGCAGGGGUUUUGUACCGUAGCCUCUGAGCUGAAUUAAGGUUCUUCCAGAUGGAGGUUUAUUAUGGAAUUGGUGCUGCUCUUGCACACGUUUUUGCACCAUCUGCAGGAGGCUGUCGUCAUCAAAAUGCGAGCCUCUGCUUUUUACAUUAAAUCCGGAUUUUCUCUUACCCUGGAAAAUCCAUUAAGUGAACAUAAUCCUUUAUGCAUCUGCAGUGGAAACUUGUUAGCACUUUUAUUUUAUUUUUGGGGGUGAACAGUUUGCCAUGUGUGUCAUUUGUAUGCACACGGUGCAAUUUCAGGUGAGAGGAGCCAUUCAUUCAAAGCCUCAACACAUGCAGAGUACAUACUUUGGAACUUUAUAUGGGUCUUGUGCAAGUUCUCUGUAUGAUAAUUUCAGUAUCUUAAAAAUAUAAAUCAGUAUUGCAAAAGAACUCUGUAUUAGUAUUAAAAAGCAAAUGGAAAUGGAUGUUGCCUCCCUCUCCCCCACCCCCAAAGCAUAAGCCUCCAUUGGACCUGUUGUGAAACUUUAUAACUAAGGACAGCUAACAUUUGCUGACCUUAAAUAUUAUUAUUAUUAUUAUUAUACUUUAUGUAGGAUUUUUUAAAUGUUAAAUGUGUAUAAAUACCUAUGCAUCUGCUCCAAGUAGGAAGAGGUUUUUUAUUUUAUACACACACACACACACACACACACACACACACACAUAUACUACCAUCAGGGCAUUUCAAAGAAUAAAAUACAAGCUAGAAACAAGUACUGUAAAUAAUUAAAACAAAACAGCAAAACAAUGCCCCCCUUUCCACAGACACAUUUAAAAAACGUACAAUCUUAAUACAGUGGUACCUCAGGUUACAUACGCUUCAGGUUACAUACACUUCAGGUUACAUACACUUCAGGUUACAGACUCCGCUAACCCAGAAAUAGUGCUUCAGGUUAAGAACUUUGCUUCAAGAUGAGAACAGAAAUCGUGCUCCAGCGGCGCGGCGGCAGCAGGAAGCCCCAUUAGCUAAAGUGGUGCUUCAGGUUAAAAACAGUUUCAGGUUAAGUACGGACCUCCGGAACGAAUUAAGUACUUAACCCGAGGUACCACUGUAAGCCCAAGGCCUGGUUGAAGAGGAACAUUUUUGCUUGGCGCCUAAAAAUACAUAAAGAAGGCACCAGAUGAACCUCCCUGGGGAGAGCACUCCACAAACGGGGAGCCACUACAGAAAAGGCCCAUUUUCGUGUUGCCACCCUCCGGAGGAGACACACAGAGAAGGGCCUCAGAGGAUGAAUGCAGAGUUGGGGAAGGUUUAUACAGGGAGAGCCAGUCCUUGAGUUAUUGCGGUCCUGAGCCUUUUAAGGCAUUAUAGGUCAAAACCAACACUUUGAAUUGGGCCCAGUAGCUAAUUGGGUAGUAGAGGCUGGCGGAAGGUCUAGAACACACAGCACCGAAACAUGUCACAAAGGACUGAGAUAUGGGUGAGAAUCAGUGGUAUAGCUAUGAAAAACAUUAGAUUUAAUCUGCAUACACAGAAAAGUCAGAUCCAGAUGACACAUUUGUGAGAUAGCACCACCAUCUGAAACAACCCUUACUACAGAACAAUGAGAAAUUCAAAUUCUGCCGCAGUACCAUUAAAGGAACACGAGCAUUCUUGAUCCACCCCAAAGUAGCAACUCAUGCUUUGCAUAUGUAUUUUACUUCCUUACCUAUCACAUGUGUAUGAUCAGGCACAUGUAACAGGUAAACCAAUGAGAAAUUUGCCAAUGAGAACCUAGAAAUAACUCUGGCCCUGGAGCUGCGGGGCAUUGGAACCAUUUAUUUUGCCCAUUGUGUUCAAGGCUAAUCAUUGCUACUAGAAAUUGGACCGUUAAAGCUUAUUUCAGCAGUUGCUCUGGUUUCUUGCACGAUGCUAUAAGGAGAACACCCCAAUAAGCAUGUCACAAAACAGCAAUAUAAAAGAAAGCACCGUGGGUUUGCAUUAAAUCCAGAAAGCCAUCUUGUUCCCGAAUAGAAAAAAGCAAGGAUUGAAUAGAUCCUAGUUCUAUUUUAAGUUUCACUACUGGUGCGUUUGCCCUGUAGCCCUCAUUGUAGAGCAUCUCCAGGUCUGUGUCAUGACGUCAGAGAUGACAAUUGAUGGAGAUUGGUGUCAAGGCCACUUUUCUCUAUUGCAUCUUUCUAGCCAAGUACAAUCACUGAAGAGUGGGGGGGGGGGGGCGGGAAUUGUAUUGUGAUAGCAUGCCAUCAAUAUUCCAGCUGCGCUCUUUGUCAGGCCUUCCAGGGUAAAAGAUAGGAUGAAGACUGAAUGAUGGAAAACAAGUUUCCACCAUCCUUUCAAUGUAGGGAGAUUGCGGGGGGUGCUGAGCGGAUAAAAUACCGUAUUUUUUGCUCUGUAUGACACACUUUUUCCCUCCUAAAAAGUAAGGGGAAAUGUUUGUGCGUCUUAUGGAGCGAAUGCAGGCUGUGCGGCUAAGCCAGAAGCCAGAACAGGGAGAGGGAGUGCUGCGCAGCGCUCCAGCUCGCUGUUCUAGCUUCGGGCUUAGCUGCGCAAACCCUCCGCAGGGCAGCGGGGUGUCUUCAUCCCGCUGCCCUCCAGAGGCUUCGCGGGCUGUCCCAGAAGCCUCCGCAGGGCACGGGGAUGAAGGCACAAAGCUAGACCAGCUAGAGGGAGCGCUGGGCAGCGCUCCCUCUAGCUAUUCUGUCUUUUGGAUAGCCCCUGCGAAGCCUCCAUAGGGCAGCGAGAUGAAGGCUCCCCGUUGUCCUGUGGUGGGAAGUGGGGGGAAGGGACAGAGCGCGUGACUCUGUUCCUUCCCCCACCUCCCAGAAAAGCCCCCAAGAGCCGCGCUCCCUUUAAAGAGUGUGUGGUUGUUGCAGGAGAUGGGGGAAGGUACAGAGGGCAGUUUACCCGCGCGCAGCCUCUUCCGGGCAGGGGGAGCCUUCAUCCCUCUUGCUGUUCUGGCUUCUGGGAUUCAGAUUUUUUUUUCUUGUUUCCUCCCCCCCAAAACUAGGUGCGUCUUAUCGUCUGGUGCGUCCUAUAGAGCGAAAAAUACGGGUAGGCAUUCUUCGCAACAAAGGAUUUCCCCAGCUCCACUUUACCUACGUACUCCACAAUCCUUGGGUUGUAAGUUUAGGAUAGCCAAGUAUCUGCUGUCCAUAUGAAUGUGACCUUCCUGUUGCAACACGAUGUUAUCUGGAUUGCACCACUAUUUUUCUCCAGAGCCUUGAGAUAUGUUUCGCACUUUUUAACUAAGCUCAUAUAUGCAAGUGUCUUACAGAUCUCACAAGAAGCAUAGCAGGAAAAUAGAAACAGAGCAGUGAGCUUUGAGGGCAGGAUUCUAAAAUAUAUGCCGGCGCUUAACUUAUGAGUUGGCAGAACAACACGGAGGUGGAUUGUGGAGGGUGCUCAAGUGCUCUAGCACGUACAACCCACAUGGAGAUUGCAUCCAGGAGUUAGCAUAAAGGAAGACGCUUAUUUACACGCCAUACAGGGCUUGGGAGGAGGAGAAGUCACAGCAUGAAGCAGGAUGUAUUUGAACAAGCAAUGAAAUGUGUUGUAGCAGUCAGUCCUCCAUCAGCAGCAGCCUGAAAUGUACAGUCUAGGUGUGAGUGCAAGAUGUAAGGCUAAAGACAUUGUGCAAAACCACAGUUACCUAGCUGGGGGUGCAGUGGGAAUCUUAAACUAAGUUAAUAUUAAUCUACAAAGAUGAAUGUACAAGACAGACAAGCCCCACUGCCAAAUGAGGCCCCGGGGCUUGCUCAAACCUUUAAUUAUUUUUUUAAGGAAGUUUAUUACUUUUAACCCCACCUUUCUACAGAUUCCCAGCGAAACUAACAAAAAGUUACAAUGCCAAUAAAAAUGAAAUCUCGUAAGACUGACAAAUACUGGCCUGCAUAUAAUUACUCAAAACUGGCAAUCACAUGGGUCUUAAGACAGAAAGAAACUAAGAACUUGCUGGAUGAGGCUAAUGGUACAUUUGACUGGCAUUCCGUUCUCACAGAGACCAACCAGUGUUAUGACUCAUUUAGUUACAGUAUAAGCUAAACAAGCUUACCGUAUUUUUCGCUCUAUAAGACGCACCAGACCACAAGACGCACCUAGUUUUUGGAGGAGGAAAACAAGAAAAAAAGUAUUCUGAAUCUCAGAAGCCAGAACAGCAAGAGGGAUCGCUGCGCAGUGAAAGCAGCAAUCCCUCUUGCUGUUCUGGCUUCUGGGAUAGCUGCGCAGCCUGCAUUCGCUCCAUAAGACGCACACACAUUUCCCCUUACUUUUUAGGAGGGAAAUUGAGUCUUAUAGAGCAAAAAAUACGGUAUAUUAAUUUAAAAAAAUUAAAGGAAAAAAACUGGAUGUACAUUUCCAAAAUAUAAGAUAAAAAACAAAUAAAAUAAAACCUACAUACAGCAACAGUGUUUUGUGUUGUGUAGGCUCCUAUGAUGUAAGUAAUGGGCCCCACCUGCUAGCCUGCUCCCUAAAAUAUCGCUGGUUUGCUCAUUUCUAUACAGUGGUGCCCCGCAAGACGAAUGCCUCGCAAGACGAAAAACUCGCUAGACGAAAGAGUUUUCCGUUUUUUGAGUCGUUCUGCAAGACGAAUUUCCCUAUGGACUUGCUUCGCAAGACGAAACGUCUUGCGAGUUCUUGCGAGUUUGUUUCCUUUUUCUUAAAGCCGCUAAGCCGUUAAUAGCCGCUAAGCCGCUAAUAGCCAUGCUUCGCAAGACGAAAAAACCGCAAGACAAAGAGACUCACGGAACGGAUUAAUUUUGUCUUGCGAGGCACCACUGUAUAUAGGGUGCCUACAUUCUGCAUGUGCAUAUGGCUUUAGAUACCUAUUAGGUCCAUAAAUUACCAUAUAGCAUAUAUUCAACACAGAAAACAGGGACAAUUUGUUGCUGACAAAGGACAGCUGGACAUAUAAAGGGCCCCAUUCCCUUCAGUAGCUUAGGGCCUCAUCAAACCUAAAUCCGGCCCUGGCCAGGAUAGCCCUUUCUUUAGCUCAGCUGAUUUGAGUGUGGUGCUAAUAAUGCCAAGGUUGCAGUUUCGAUCCCCGUAUAUAGGACAGCUGCAUAUUCCUGCAUUUCAGGGGGUUGGACUAGAUGAUCCUUGGGGUCCCUUCCAACUAUCGAAUUCUAUGUUUCUCUGCUUCUUAUUAGCUGCCUGCAAGUGUUGUCCUCCAAGCCACCAUCAUCCUGUGAAGGAAGAGAUCAAGGCACGCCUGAUGACACCAUCCUAGAGGGCCUGGACCUCCCGAACCACCCAUAUUUUGAGAGCUUGCUCUGUACUUACAGGCUGUGCCCCUACCCUAUGAUUUAGAACCCUGGAUCGCACAGUUUUGAAAGAUAGCAACUAGGGAGAACAGUGCUGAGCUAAUGACCUAAUUAAACAAACGAAUGCGGCACAAAAAUGGAAGCAAGAAAGAAUUACCGACGAAAGAAGAAUGGCAAAUGAAAUUAAUGGACUAUGCAGAAUUAGAUAAACUAACAGGAAGGAUUCGAAACCUGCAGGCUCAGAGAUUCUUAGAGGACUGGAGUAAAUAUUUGAACUAUUUGAAAAGCAAUUGUAAUAAACAGAUUGCGCUAGUAGGACUGCAAGGAGUUCUGUAAGGAGGAUUUUGUGAAAUAUUGCAAGGAAGACUUUGAAAAGAAUGAUUAGUUAAGGGCAAUUAAAAGGAAUAGAGAAAUUAAGAAAUGUAGAACAAGUGAUAAAGAACGGAAAAUCAGAGGUUGUUGACGGAAGUCUAAAAUAUUGUAUAAGAUAAGAAGUUAUGUUAAAUGAUUGUUGGAAGUGAUAUGUUAAAAAAUCUAUCUAUCUAUCUACAGUGGUACCUUGGGUUGCAUAUGCUUCAGGUUACAUACACUUCAGGUUACAGACUCCGCUAACCCAGAAAUAUUACCUCAGGAUAAGAACUUUGCUUCAGGAUGAGAACAGAAAUCGUGCAACGGCGGCACAGUGGCAGCAGGAGACCCCAUUAGCUAAAGUGGUGCUUCAGGUUAAGAACAGUUUCAGGUUAAGAACAGACCUCCAGAACGAAUUAAGUUCUUAACCCGAGGUACCACUGUAUAACAAACAAAUGCAUCCAUCUAUGACUCAAAGUAACGAUGGCCAAUGCAGUUUAAAUACGCCUUCCGAUUGCCUAGGGCAGAAAGUGGGCAACUAUUUCUCUAUCAUUGGACUGCUGUGUGAGUAAUAAACGUAUUUUAAAAGCCCCUGAAAUCUACAGAGUUUUUCUCGUCGUGAAAUUUCAGCCCUGGGAGCUGGCAUCGUUGCGCUGAGCAGGUUCAGAACCACUAGGAACAGCAUCUACGCUUUGCGGAGGGAUUUGAUCUUGAGGACUCACAGAGUGAAGAGAGAUGUAAAAAAGUUGUUGCUGCUGCUUUAGAGAGAGUUCAGAGCACGCACGCACCCAGUCAUGGGUUGAGCCCACUUUUAGGAGUAAGUACACAUUUAGCAACUCAGGCUGCCUUGACUUCCCCUUUUCUCUCAUGCUCAGGGCAGAAAAUAUAACUGGCUGUCAGCCUUUUCUUAAAAACAAAAAAGAAACAACAACAACUUCACAAUCAGACCAAGAAAUAUUGGUGCCUAAGGCAGAAAAGCCACAUGGUGUCUCUCACCCAAGGUAGAGAAUGUAAUAAUAAACUAAAUAAUUGACAGCUGGCUGUUCUUGAAUGGUACCUCACUAUUGCUGUAGCCUCAGGCAUCCUGCAUCCUCCAGCCUAAUGGCAGCGUCCAGCCUUGGCAUUACUAGUGCAAAUACCUCAUUAAAAUAUAACAGCAUGCAUUUCUUCAAACUUCACGCGUUUCAAAAAAAAGGCUUAAUUUUUUUUAAAAAAAGAUCUCUGAAGCUUCUUUUGUUUAGUACUGCAGUUUAACUCGAAUAUCUGAGCGCCUUUGCAGUGCGGUUUUCAAAUACAGUGGUACCUUGGUUCUCAAACUUAAUCCGUUCCGGAAGUCCGUUCCAAAACCCAGGUGCACUUUCCCAAAGAAAGCAAUGCUAAACAGAUUAAUCCGUUCCAGACUUUUAAAAACAACCCCUAAAAAAGCAAUUUAACAUGAAUUUUACUAUCUAACGAGCCCGUUGAUCCAUAAAAUGAAAGCAAUAAUCAAUGUACUGUACUAUAAAAUAAAUAAGACGGUAUUGUAGAUGAUAAAAAUUAAAAUUAUUUUCCCCCCUUACCUGCACUGAUGAUAGUCAUUGUUUGUAUGGGGGGCUCUUAUCCAUUUCCACAGUCACACAGUCAAUCAGUAGCUGAACUAGGUUCCACACAGUCACAAAAACAAAUUAACCAAAAAUGCCACAAAAAUGCAAAAUAAAUAGCAAAAACAAAAGCACCAAACUUAAUCCAUUCCAGAAGUCCAUUUGACUUCUGAAAUGUUCAAAAACCAAGGCGCAGCUUCUGACUGAUGCAGGCGCCCUGGAAACAAUAGCCGACAGCCGAAUCGGACGUUUGUCUUCCAAAAAACGUUCGAAAACCGGAACACUUACUUCCGGAUUUUUGGCGUUUGGGAAACAAAGUUUUUGAGUACCAAGGCGUUUGAGAACCAAGGUACCACUGUAUGCACGAUAGCAGUUGUUACGCUACAUAUUGCUUUGUGAUUUGUGUUCUGUUUUAUUGAAUUUGUAUGUAGCCAUUUUACUGUAUUUUAAAUUAUAUAUAUAUAUAUAUGUACAGUGGAGGGACGCGGGUGGCGCUGUGGGUUAAACCACAGAGCCUAGGACUUGCCAAUCAGAAGGUUGGCGGUUUGAAUCCCCGCGACAGGGUGAGCUCCCGUUGUUCGGUCCCUGCUCCUGCCAACCUAGCAGUUCGAAAGCACGUCAAAGUGCAAGUAGAUAAAUAGGUACCGCUCCGGCGGGAAGGUAAACGGCAUUUCCGUGUGCUGCUCUGGUUCGCCAGAAGCGGCUCAGUCAUGCUGGCCACAUGACCCGGAAGCUGUACGCCGGCUCCCUCAGCCAGUAAAGCGAGAUGAGCGCCGCAACCCCAGAGUCGGUGACGACUGGACCUAAUGGUCAGGGGUUCCUUUACCCUUUACCUUAUGUACAGUGGUACCUCGGGUUAAGUACUUAAUUCGUUCCGGAGGUCUGUUCUUAACCUGAAACUGUUCUUAACCUGAAGCACCACUUUAGCUAAUGGGGCCUCCUGCUGCUGCUGCGCCGCCGGAGCACGAUUUCUGUUCUUAUCCUGAAGCAAAAUUCUUAACCUGAAGCACUAUUUCUGGGUUAGCGGAGUCUGUAACCUGAAGUGUAUGUAACCUGAAGCGUAUGUAACCCGAGGUACCACUGUACUGCUGCUAAAGGGCACGCCUUUAUGUUCUUUGGCUUUAGAGGACUGUCCGAAACAUGUGCAAAGAACCUAAGCGUCCCUAAUCAUUACUUGGACAGAACGAGGAAAAUGCCACGUGGAACAAAUAGCCCCAGCAAAACUGAUUGAUUAAUCCAGGUUAAAAAGGAUUAGAAUAGACAGACUGGCAGACAUUUAGAUUAGGACAGAGUGGAUUAGCGCCAUGUUGCAGAUGGGAGCUGUCAGAGCGACAGGGAGAGAGAUAUGGAUAAAGCCACUUGCGAAAGGUCAGUCAGCCAAUCUGUUGGUUAGUCCAAAACUCCACGCUUUUACAGGCAUUGCGGGGGUGGGUAUUUAGGUAACGUUUAUGAUUUCCCUCCUCUGCGGUAUUGGCGCUCCUUGCCAACACUUUAAACCAGAAAUAAAAAUGCAAAUACCUCUUUGUAGUUUGUAAAGGAAACAGCUUGAUUAGUUUAUGGGUUUUUCUUUAUGGACACAUUCUACGUCUUUGUCUUAAAAGCAACUUUAUUGGGAGAAAACUAAUUAGAAAGGGACACAGACUAAGUCAACAACUGAGGCACAGAAGCUCAAAGCUCCGGGGGCUUUUCGAAAGAGGGUGGGGGGAGAGAGAAGGAAAAUGAGGAAACAGCUGGAUAAUCUGAUGCAUUAUUUUCCAUCACUAUAUACUGUUAUUUUAUCCACUCAAUAAAACUGCUCCCUGGGAACCCUUUAGAAUGUAAAUGAAACCAUUUAUUAAAGAGAUGCACUUCAGAAGAAAGAUCCUCCUGGGGUUUCCUUUUCCCUGCCCCACCCCCUUUGAUUUGGGUGGGGCACAAUUCUGAAUAAAUGCCCCAUCCAAUCCAUUCUUGAAUCCCAAAUCUAGGGCUCCCUCCUCUGUUUAGGGGUUCCCGUCAGAGACGUGGAACAGUCUCAGUGAGUACAAUACUAACAAAACAAACACAUUCCAAGAAAUACUCCAAGAAGGCUCACAUAACCAUAAAAUGAGGAUGUGUUUUAAUCUCUUAAGUCUGGAGCACAAAUUGAAGGAUAGACAUUGCCAACCAUAAAGGGGAGAGAAACGCUUGACUGACUAAGUCAAGUCGUUUGCGUGUGGAGACCCUGCAGCUACCCCCUCGUGGAAAUAACUCACACCAGGA